rnacentral:sRNA from 1 species
AAGCUCAAACGACAAUAAGUAGCACUGC